CCCCAAUACCAAAACCCUGGUCAGGUGAACACUAAUCGGCUGAAUUCCCCGGCUAACAACUUUUCUCAUCAUCAACAGCAACCACAACAAAAUCCUAAUCAGUGNNNNNAGACUCGAAACUAUCCCCAAUACCAAAACCCGUGUGAGGUGCACCCUAAUGCCCAGGGUUAUCGGCAACCCAGAAGCCCAAAUCAAUUGAACAAUCAAAAUCAGGUGUACCCACAAGCUGGAAACCCUGAGCAGUGGGCUCCUCAGGGUCAAAACCCAACCUUCCAGAAUACAGCACAGGAUAUGAAUGCUGACAUCAAUGUUGCUGCUCCGGCUCCUUCAAUUGUUGAUUUGAUGCGCUUGUGUAAGGAGGGAAAACUUAAGGAAGCUAUCGAGUUGCUGGAUAAAGGUGUUAAGGCUGAUGCUGAUUGCUUUUAUGCUUUGUUUGAGUUGUGUCUGAAACUUGAGGAUGCAAAAAA
rnacentral:misc_RNA from 1 species